AGAGUUUGAUCAUGGCUCAGGAUGAACGCUAGCUACAGGCUUAACACAUGCAAGUCGAGGGUAGCAGGGUAGCAAUACCGCUGACGACCGGCGCACGGGUGAGUAACACGUAUCCAACCUUCCCAUAACUCAGGGAUAGCCUUUCGAAAGAAAGAUUUAAUACCUGAUAGUACUUUUUCAAGGCAUCUUGAAAAAGUUAAAGAUUUAUUGGUUAUGGAUGGGGAUGCGUUCCAUUAGAUAGUUGGUGAGGUAACGGCUCACCAAGUCUUCGAUGGAUAGGGGUUCUGAGAGGAAGGUCCCCCACAUUGGUACUGAGACACGGACCAAACUCCUACGGGAGGCAGCAGUGAGGAAUAUUGGUCAAUGGGCGAGAGCCUGAACCAGCCAAGUAGCGUGAAGGAAUGAAGGUCCUAUGGAUUGUAAACUUCUUUUAUAGUAGAAUAAAGUGAUCCACGUGUGGAUUUUUGUAUGUAUACUAUGAAUAAGGAUCGGCUAACUCCGUGCCAGCCGCGGC
rnacentral:rRNA from 1 species